GAAGAUUAAUUCAGUUCAGGCUGGGUCCAGAAGAGUCAACACAUUUCUGCCUUGUUCUGCAGUUUGGGGACAAGGAAUAGAAGACAGAAUAUUGGUUUGGACGAACUGAGACCACUGAUGGACAUCACUGCAGCGUGCAGAGCAAUGAAGACAAGAUAUUAAAGAGGACUGAUCAUACUGUUGGUCAUACCUGAAAAAUGGGGAAUCGACAACCACGCAAUUGUAACACAUGUAACCGUGUGUUACCUCCAUACAGAAGAUACCCUGUAUACAGACCAGGACUAUACCUUGGACUAUAUAGCAAUAUUCCAAUUUACCAGUGCUCAUAUUGUGUUUAUACGCAAAUCAGAGAUCAGGAGGAGCAGAGGAGACAAGAAGAGGAGAGGAGACAA